GGCGAGAUAGUAUAGUGGUUAGUACAGUCGGUUCUGACGCAUUCGUUUCCGACUAACCUGGGUUCGAUCCCCAGUCACGCCU
rfam:Rhodosporidium toruloides NP11 unplaced genomic scaffold Scaffold49, whole genome shotgun sequence.